AUACGGAGGGUGCAAGCGUUAAUCGGAAUUACUGGGCGUAAAGCGUACGUAGGCGGUUCGUUAAGUUAGAUGUGAAAGCCCCGGGCUUAACCUGGGAACUGCAUUUAAAACUGGCGGACCAGAGUUGAGUAGAGGGGAGUGGAAUUUCAGGUGUAGCGGUGAAUGCGUAGAGAUCUGAAGGAACACCAGUGGCGAAGGCGACUCCCUGGACUCGAACUGACGCUGAGGUACGAAAGCGUGGGUAGCAAACGGGAUUAGAAACCCUAGUAGUCC
rnacentral:rRNA from 1 species